AUGUAACCAGUAUAUGGGGAUGUUUCCCACACAUUCAACGCUAUGAAUACGGAAAAAUAAAAGGGGAGAUAAAAUCCCCCCUUUUUGAUUAACU
rnacentral:sRNA from 16 species